rnacentral:rRNA from 1 species
ACUCCUACGGGAGGCAGCAGUAGGGAAUCUUCCACAAUGGGCGCAAGCCUGAUGGAGCAACACCGCGUGAGUGAAGAAGGGUUUCGGCUCGUAAAGCUCUGUUGUUAAAGAAGAACACGUAUGAGAGUAACUGUUCAUACGUUGACGGUAUUUAACCAGAAAGUCACGGCUAACUACGUGCCAGCAGCCGCGGUAAUACGUAGGUGGCAAGCGUUAUCCGGAUUUAUUGGGCGUAAAGAGAGUGCAGGCGGUUUUCCAAGUCUGAUGUGAAAGCCUUCGGCUUAACCGGAGAAGUGCAUCGGAAACUGGAUAACUUGAGUGCAGAAGAGGGUAGUGGGAACUCCAUGUGUAGCGGUGGAAUGCGUAGAUAUAUGGAAGAACACCAGUGGCGAAGGCGGCUACCUGGUCUGCAACUGACGCUGAGACUCGAAAGCAUGGGUAGCGAACAGGAUUAGAUACCCUGGUAGGAUAGCG